GAAGUUUGGAGAUGUUCAUAAUGUUAGAAUUCCAAUGAAUUACACAACAGGAUUUAAUAGAAAUGUCGCUUUUUUUACCCUUCACUGUGACCAGCAAUCCCUUGAAUCUGUUUUAAAAGAUUACCAUGUGAUAUCUGGAAACGAAGUUACUGUGGAAAUAAAAACAGGUGUUAAAAAGGACAGUGUUGAUCAAUAACUUUAUGUCUUGUAUUAUAAAUUUUUUUUUGCUGUAAAACAUUUUGUAAAUAAAAAAAAACCCCACAAUUUUUAUCAAA
rnacentral:sRNA from 1 species